rnacentral:ncRNA from 2 species
GCUUAUUCUCAGGGCAGGGUGAAAUUCCCGACCGGCGGUGAUUCCGCGACAGCGGAGCAGCCCGCGAGCGCCUGCCGCAAGGCAGGGUCAGCAGAUCCGGUGCGAAUCCGGAGCCGACGGUUAGAGUCCGGAUGGAAGAGGAUAAGG